rnacentral:tRNA from 1 species
GCUCGAAUGGUCUAGUUGGUUAUGACGACUGCCUGACACGCAGUAGGUCCCGAGUUCAACUCUCGGUUCCAGUA